rfam:Anaerosporobacter mobilis DSM 15930 genome assembly, contig: EJ17DRAFT_scaffold00002.2
UAGCGUAACACCUAUAGUACUUCUUAGUGUGUACUUAGUAACUUAGGAAGGCGAGGCAUGGACGCCGAGCCAGCCUGAGCUGAGGCGCAGGAGGCCGAAUCGAGGGCGGUUCCGUACCUACUGUACAAACUUGUUGUACACACAUAGAAGUACUUAGGUGAGUAGCGU